ACGUGUUUCCCCCAAAGCCUCACGGAUACCGCUCUAGCCGUUCUCUCUGUGGUCUGGAGGUCUUCUCUGCGAGGAAUGCACUAGCUGCUGCCCGGGCUGUGGGACGGCAGAGCCAUGGCGGAGGGUCCCACUCACCUGUUGGAGGUUUGCCGUCAGAAACUGUCCGAGUUCUUGUGCAAUGUCGAGCACAAGCACUUGGCAUGGCUGCGGGAAAUUGAGGAGGAGGCCAUGAAGAUGUUCGAUAGCAACUUAAGUGCUGAACCUGAGCUGAUGCCCAAAACACCAUCACAGAAGAAAUACCGUAGGAAGAAGCGCUCCUUAUCUCUUAAGGACGAGAACAAUGAACUGACCAGAAAAAGGUUAUCGAGAAGGAGAAGCAGCCUCAAGCCAGCAUCCUCUAAGCAAGUUUCCCAAAGGCUCCGAAGCAAAGAGGGACUGGAAAAACCCAGUGAUGUUCAAAAGGGAGUCAAUACUUCUUUUUCAACAACGAGAUUCCACUCCAAGGUUGAAACAGAGUUUUCUCUUCCAUCGGAGGCAGUGGCUAAGACACCAACUAUCUUGUUAGUAGAAGAGCGGGUUCCCUUGACAGAAAUCAGUGUUGACAGCCACAGUGGUGCUGACUUGUAUUUGAAGGGGAAUAGGCCUGAAAUAAUAGACCAGGCCUUGGAGAUCAUCUCCCUGAGUAUUGAUGACCAAGCUCCCAAGAAGCCUAAGGUUACUGAACUUCAACCUAUGUCUGCAGCCUCAGCACUGGUGAUCCCUGACACUCCUGAGGCAAAGGGGACAGGAGAAGACCGGGAUGCUGCCAACUUUAGAACAGCAAAUACAUCCACGCCAAAAGCUGCCGUAAAUGGGGAGCCCGGAGCUGAGAGUGACGUUUCUGCUCAGGGGCCAGAAAAGGAGCUUUUCCAGGACUUAAAGGACAGCACAGGGACCUCAACAGGGUCCAAAUCGAGCCAUCCCUCUGCACGCAGAAGCCAGAGGGGUAAGUCCCAUAAGCACCGCAGGACCUCGCUAGCAGAGAAGUAUUCUCUGGCCAGCAAAAGAGAGAGCAUGAUCCGGAAAUCUAUCAGCAGGGCUAUCUCUAAGAAGAAGGCAGCUCGGGAGUCCUCUUCAGCCUCCAGCCACGUGAGCUGCCACAGCUCCCUGGAGGUAUUUGUGGAUGAAGAUGCAACCAGCAAUGUCAGGCCUGAACUGGAACCAAAUGCUGAAUGUGACAAGGCUCCAAAACACCUCCAGAAAACCUUCAUUAUUCCAAAUGAAGGCAGCCCUGUUGCAGAACAGUCAGCUCAGAUUGAACCACCGAAUGGGGCAGAGCAGCAGGCAGGAAACUGUAAAGAGAGCCAUUUGAAAAAAAGUGGCACUUCUCAGAGCAGUGGGAGCAAGGAGCAGCCCCAGAAUGCCAAGCCACUAGAACAGCCCUCGAGUAUCCGGAGACAGAGUUAUAAGCAAGCAGUAGAUGAGCUAUGUAAUGGGCAGCAGCUAGAAGACUGUGACCUCUCUCCUUCAUAUGAUAAGACCACUUCUUCUCCUGCAAGCAAGACUCUAGCCUCGCCCAGCCCAGCCAGCAAGGUCGUACGUCCAUUCAAACACUUUUUACAGACGGUGCAGAAGAACCAGCUGCUCGUGACCCCAGGGUCCACAGGGCACAGUAGUGUCAUGAAAAACCUUAUCAAACGCAACACUCCUACCCGACCGGAUUCCAAGGUAGAGACGAUCUCUUUUCCCUUGAGGGUGAGAAGGGAAGAGCAAAUGUAUGGGGCAGGGUUGUCUGCUUUGAAAUGCUCACUGCAAAUCUGCAUCACAAGCCGUUCAAGAUUCCAAAUGAGGAAUGGUACCAAGGAGCAAACUUAAAUCACAACUCUUCCCAUUCUGAUAUGCUGACUGAAUGUCCGAUCCAGCACCCAAACUCUCCUCUCUCAGUGGUCUUGGCAGAGAGGCUAAAAACUGAAUGGGCCAUGAAGAUUAUUUUUCCCUUUGAUGUCUGAAGAUGCUCCCUCCAGAGUGAGACACGCUGGUGUUACAGGAGAGUACAGCAUAGGCCGUGUCAGGGAAAAGGAGCGGCAGCGGCUGGAGAGCCUGAGGAAGAAGCAGGAGGCUGAGCAACAAAGAAAACAGAAAGUGGAG